rnacentral:rRNA from 1 species
GUGGGGAAUUGUUCGCAAUGGGCGCAAGCCUGACGACGCAACGCCGCGUGGAGGAUGAAGGUCUUCGGAUUGUAAACUCCUGUUGACCGGGACGAAUGCUUUCCGGGCUAACACCCCGGGGAAUUGACGGUACCGGUUGAGGAAGCCCCGGCUAACUCUGUGCCAGCAGCCGCGGUAAUACAGAGGGGGCAAGCGUUGUUCGGAAUUACUGGGCGUAAAGGGCGCGUAGGCGGCCGACUAAGUCCGACGUGAAAUCCCCCGGCUCAACUGGGGAACUGCGUCGGAUACUGGAUGGCUUGAAUCCGGGAGAGGGAUGUGGAAUUCCAGGUGUAGCGGUGAAAUGCGUAGAUAUCUGGAGGAACACCGGUGGCGAAGGCGGCAUCCUGGACCGGAAUUGACGCUGAGGCGCGAAAGCCAGGGGAGCAAACGGGAUUAGAAACCCCAGUAGUCC